UCUAAGGAUGUUCCUAGCCAUUGAUGUUCGCAUUGAUCGUGGAACACUUAGCAAGAUGCGCAAACAAAGCGCAUCAACAUCAGGGCAUUCGCAAGGAUGACCCUUUGAGCCGGGCCGUCCUCGUAUCUCUUCAGUUUCAGUACACGGGCUACCGCCCGUAUGGGUCGGUAGCUCAGGUGGUUAGAGCGCACGCCUGAUAAGCGUGAGGUCGGAGGUUCAAGUCCUCCUCGACCCACCAUGAUAUCUCAAGUGUCCUAAUCGCUCUAAGUUUGCGGACCUUCGGGGCCUUAGCUCAGUUGGUAGAGCGCCUGAUUUGCAUUCAGGAGGUCAGCGGUUCGAUCCCGCUAGGCUCCACCAUGAAAUUAAUUUACCUUAUAUUUAGUUUGGCAGAAUAUAUCUUCAAGCAUUUUUGAAUGUUUGGACGUCUGUUCUGCAGACGAAUUGACAUCGUAUAGAGAGAUACAAAUAUCAACACUGUUUGAUCGCGCCGAGUGUGGCGAUGAUCUCGGUUUGGUUCUAUUUUGUUGUUUAGUAGUCGAGAGGCGAAGGGCAUUAUACAAGAUGGAAGGCGACUGAUUGGAUGCUUCCUCGUCCGGUUUGUUGUAUCCCUGCUGAAACGAACGGAGUUGUCCAAGUCAAGUACACUAACCAGAGUAGCAUCGUUCAUAUCCCGCACGGAUUAUGGACAUUGGUGACUACUCAAUUGUCAGCAUGCCACAAACAUGCUGGCGGGAAAAAGUAUACUUUUGAUUCUAGAAUAAGACUGUAUUUAGUUACCAGCUGUGCGGUCGUGUUAGACGCAAGUCUUUCUUUUUCU
rnacentral:tRNA from 1 species